AAGAGACAUCAACAUGUGCAGUAGUUCAAAGAGAGUACGCUUUUAUAGAGUUAUACAUUCUUCCUUAAGAAAAAUUUAGCUCCCUAGACAAUAUGAAAACCAAGUAACUAAACGGACACAAAGUGGUCAACGGGGAAUUACGUGGCGAUUUUGGGCUGAGCUCAACGUUGCGCUCCGCCCCACAUUGAGCUCUGCAAGCUGCAGUCAGGGGUACUUGACUUACAUGUAAUUAAGUUGCGAGCAACAAUAUCUGGAGAUUAUCCUAAUGAAACGCAAUCGUGGGACCAUUUACAUCAUCAGGGGUUUACCAUACACGGGAAGACCCGGCAAAGCAAGGAAUGUGUGCCAGGAUGGUGGAGAGAUCAUCAGUUAUUUUGAUUAUUUUCGCAUAUAUCACAAUUCUCAGAUCAUUCCUAAGUAUCUUCACAAGGCACAUAUGUGGGCACGCAGGGAAGCCCUAGAAAAUAUAGAAAGAGGAGUGGAUCCAGUCAUCAUCAACAACCCCAACAUGCCCCUUUGGCACAUGUAUCCAUACGUCCGAAUGAUUUCUCCACAAUGCUCAGCCAUGAGCUGAGCUUGGGACAUGAGCUACUAAACGGAUCCAAUCCAUUUAAAACAAAUGCUUUUUUUCGUGGCUACUGGAUUGAAUUCAUUGAAACGGAAGACACCUGGGAUGUUCCUCUUGAGGAAUUAGAAAGGAGAGGUGGCGGUACAAUUCCACUACCAAUACUGGAAGACAUGAAGGAGUCAUAUGAGCCAGUACGACAUGUCUAUGACGUUCUGUAUGACGAGUAUUCUCAAUAUAGAUGGAUUGGUAGUAAGGAAAUGACAUCUAAUGACUGGUGACCCUGCAGAGGGAAAUUUCUAUAUUCCACUUCCUUCAUGGGGUGAAUUAUUAUGUCAUGAAAAGGAAUGAUAUCAUGCAUCAUUCAUAAAGAAAUAAACUGUGACUUUUUAAACAA